AUCGAUUAUCAGAAACAUUUUCGAAGAAUCUCAUCGCUCAUUACAUAAUUUGGUGAUUCAAUAAAAUCGAACAAAUAUCACAAGUAUUUAAUAAAUUAAUAAUAGAAUAAUAUAAAGAUGACAAAGAUGUUUGUUGCUAUAGCAUAAAGUAUAUCUUCUUUCAAAUUUGACAGGUGUUCAAUCUGUAAUUAUGGCAUUUAGAAAUGAUAUAAAUCUCGAAAUCACAAAUGAUAAUAAUUACACAAUUUUCUAUACAAUUGAUUUGAAAAAAAAAUAAAAAUUAGUAUAAAUUUUUGAUUAUUUUGAAGUUCUUUAGCCAUAUGGAUAUUAAUUAUAGAAUAAAUAUCGGCAAAUGGUUGCCAUUUCCGAGUGAUGUUCUUGAGAAAUGGUUGACAGACUCAUCGAUGCUCACAAAAAGAAUGGACAAUUUUGUGGAAAACAUAGCAUUAAUUAUUCGAGACAUUGCAGACGCUCAAACAUACGAUUCAAAGGUAUACAAUGGAAUCGCAAACGAUUUAGAAGAGAUGAAAGAAGAAUAUAAAUCGAUCAGUACGAUGAGUCUCAGUGCACAUCCAAUUUAUAAUUACAAGAUGAGACAUUUUUUGAUGAUGUUGAAACGAAAAUUGAACGUCCUCGCGAGAUUUACUCGCAAUUUGAUUAACGAAAUCGUCGAUUGCAAGAGCGAUGAGCUACUUAGGAUAAUUUUCAGGUUGGUGAACAUUUAUAACGAUAUACUGGAUAUGGAUAUCGACGUCUCUGAUGUUUCUACGAAUGUGUUUUGUAACGAUUGUCCUUACAUGUUAGAACCGAUGAAGAAGAUAUCUGUUACACGAAUAUUGCAGAUAUUAGCCAAAAACAGAGCCGAGGAAUCCUGCCACGAACUCAUCGACUGCCUUUUAACAAAUUACGAGCCUCAGGAGAAGACCGAUCCUUCUUCAACAAUUUCUGGUGAUGCUGAUGUCUCGGACAAUUCGAGUAUUGAAAUUUAUCGAGCCCUCACGAGACAUUUGACGCCACCGAUCGAGAGUUCUUCGUCGAAGACGGAACCGGAAGUGUCGAAUAUCGAAAGUAUUCAGACGUUGGUCAACACUCAAAACAAGUACGUUCUUAAGCUGUUGAACGUUGUGCAAGAAAUUUCGCCUAGAUUGUUGGGCACAGAUGCCCUGAAAACUAUCAAUGGUGAGACGAGGCUGAGAAGUAGCGCGAUAAAGAAGGUGAAGAAUUACUACCAAGAGGUCGCGUGGGGUGCUUUGUCGAGCAUUCUGGAUCACGUGGUCCUCUGGUGGUCUCCGGAGGCCCUCGCGACUCGUCACAGUCACGGAGCACAGCAAUUGAAGGACUGGCUCAGUCAAUUCAUCCAGAAAAAUCACGUGCCAGAAACGGUGAGGCCAGCAUUGCAAAACCUCUGCGAUGCUCUUCGUUGCCAUGCCACAAUCAUCGAAUGGGAUCAAUUAUUUAGAUUGGCAUACACCUCGGCUUUCAAGUGCCAAUCGAAAGCUUCCUCCACGGACGGAUCUGACACGGGCCAAAUGUUCGGGGAAUUGUUCCAAUUGCUGGUCAGGUUGAGCAACGAGUGCGAGGCAGGCGGCGAAUGGGUGAUAGGUGCCCCAUUGAUGGAGUUGCCAUUGUCGGAACAGAUCGUCGUCCUCCAUCGGUUAGAUCAUUCGGUGCACACAGCGAGGCUGUGGAUAGUGCAGGAGGCGAAAAUCAUAGCGCAUACGUGGGAACUGGACGUGUUCUUCCUUUUGGUGAAGGGCGACAUAAUUAAUUGCCUCGAGGAACUUUCUUACUUAAAGCUUGCCGAUCAUAUCAAUGCAUUAUCGACAGAUUCUGUGAGCGUCCAGGUAUACGUUUGCGCAAAAAUGAGGGCAAAAAUUGUAUCCGAGGUGAACGUGAAUAUAGAUCUACUCCAGAAAUGUUCCACCAAGUGUACGGAUAUUCUGGCGAAGAUCUGCCGCGUGGUCAGCCUGGCAAAUUUGCAUAUGUGCUUUCCAAGGUCGAGUUAUUGGAGGAAAGGUGGCGACGUAGCCCCGGUGGCGGCUAGCCUCUACGUGCAGCCUUACUUUGAGAAAGUACUGCUCCCUGUAUUGGAAGUUAUCGAGGAUCCCGAUACGUCGAACAUGAUCCUGAAAAUUAUGUGCGAAGCUUGGUUGGAUUACAUAUAUUUGCAUCGAAUUAAAUUUAGGAAUAUUUUCUAGCGAAUAUGGCGCGUUGCAAUUGCUCACGGACUUCGCUUACGUGUCGAAAUGGGUGACCAAUUGUCCGAUAAUUUCUCAGAACGUACGGGAUCAUCUUUUAAAGAACGAAGUGUUGCGAAGAUGCGAGGGGGUUGGACGAUUGCUUCUUCGACAUCCUGGCGAGGCUAUCUCCAUGCGCAAACGACUUGCUAGAAGAACAAACGAGCGUGGAUCGCCAGAAUCCCCUGGAUUGGAACGGAUGCCGGCGGAAAUGUACGUGCCCAACCAGGAACAAUGGUUGGAGCUUCGCGCCUCGAAGAGAUAUAAUUUUUGCUGUACCGAAUAUUGACCAAAUAAUAUUUCAACGAAUUUAUUAUUA
rnacentral:misc_RNA from 1 species